AUGGAUGCCGCCCCAACCACCUCAUCCAAUAGGAAGCCCCAGUUCGGCAGCCUCUGUUCCCGCCCUUCAGCGGCCACCUCGCCACCCCUCCAACGCCCAUCACGUCCUUAUCCAACGCCGCCCUUCAGCGCCCACCCAUCCGCCUGCCCGCCCGACAACGCCCGAUUGAAUUGUUGCUGCCAAGAUCUGCCUCAAUGUGGUUUACAUCAUUGCGGCGACGACAUCGUCGAUCUUCGACUCCGGCGGCUACAUCCAGAAGGACUACCACAAUUCUCGCGGCUGAUGGCUGUGGAAAUCUGGAAAAUUUGCCUUUUCUAUCAAGAUGAGAAUCAACAACAUAAAGUUCUAGAAGGAUUCAUGGACAGAAAAGAUAUCUCCUUUUAUGAGUUAAUCAAAUUGAUUGAAGAAGUUGGCUUCUCGCCGGCAUAUGGUUUCUUGUACUACAGGAAGAAAUACCCGCGUGGUAGAUGCUAUUCUGACAUUGCUUCUGACCAUGAAAUACUUUGUGUUCAGUCUUUCCCUGAAAGUUAG
rnacentral:rRNA from 1 species